GUGAGGAAUAUUGCGCAAUGGAGGCAACUCUGACGCAGCCAUGCCGCGUGCAGGAAGAAGGCGCUACGCGUUGUAAUCUGCUUUUAACCGGGAAGAAACCCCAGGACGUGUCCUGGGUUGACGGUACCGGAGGAAUAAGCACCGGCUAACUUCGUGCCAGCAGCCGCGGUAAUACGAAGGGUGCAAGCGUUAUCCGGAUUCAUUGGGUUUAAAGGGUGCGUAGGCGGAGCGUUAAGUCAGUGGUGAAAUCCUGCAGCUUAACUGUAGACUUGCCAUUGAUACUGGCGCUCUUGAGUGCGCUUGAAGUGGGCGGAAUGUGCCGUGUAGCGGUGAAAUGCUUAGAUAUGGCACAGAACACCAAUUGCGAAGGCAGCUCACUAAGGCGAUACUGACGCUGAGGCACGAAAGCGUGGGGAUCGAACAGGAUUAGAAACCCCAGUAGUCC
rnacentral:rRNA from 1 species